UUUUACUUUCCUCCAAGUCAGAAUUCUUACUGUUUUGGCAGUAACAGCAAGUCAAAGAAAAACUCUUUUGCGUGAUCAGUCACCAGAGUAAUUCAACAUAUCUCGAAGGGCUAAUUCUCCUGUCCCACGACCACCAAGUCUGAUCCUUCAUAGAUGGGGGCACCAAUGCCCAUCUGUUCCACCCCUGGGAGCUGGUAACAGGGACUAUUUGGUUCCUGGACCUGAAGCUCACAAGGCAGACGACUGCCCUACAGGAGCACUGGCACAGAUGAAUGGAUGAAGAAAAUGUGAUAUUUACACACAAUGGAGUACUACUCUGCCAUAAAGAAGGAUAAAUUUGAGUCAUGAGAAGGAAAUGGAUGCACCUUGAA
rnacentral:lncRNA from 1 species